GGGGAUUAGUGGCGAACGGGUGAGUAACACGUGGGCAAUCUGCCCUGCACUCUGGGACAAGCCCUGGAAACGGGGUCUAAUACCGGAUAUGACACGCUCCCGCAUGGGAUGCGUGUGGAAAGCUCCGGCGGUGCAGGAUGAGCCCGCGGCCUAUCAGCUUGUUGGUGGGGUGAUGGCCUACCAAGGCGACGACGGGUAGCCGGCCUGAGAGGGCGACCGGCCACACUGGGACUGAGACACGGCCCAGACUCCUACGGGAGGCAGCAGUGGGGAAUAUUGCACAAUGGGCGAAAGCCUGAUGCAGCGACGCCGCGUGAGGGAUGACGGCCUUCGGGUUGUAAACCUCUUUCAGCAGGGAAGAAGCGAGAGUGACGGUACCUGCAGAAGAAGCGCCGGCUAACUACGUGCCAGCAGCCGCGGUAAUACGUAGGGCGCAAGCGUUGUCCGGAAUUAUUGGGCGUAAAGAGCUCGUAGGCGGCUUGUCGCGUCGGAUGUGAAAGCCCGGGGCUUAACUCCGGGUCUGCAUUCGAUACGGGCAGGCUAGAGUUCGGUAGGGGAGAUCGGAAUUCCUGGUGUAGCGGUGAAAUGCGCAGAUAUCAGGAGGAACACCGGUGGCGAAGGCGGAUCUCUGGGCCGAUACUGACGCUGAGGAGCGAAAGCGUGGGGAGCG
rnacentral:rRNA from 2 species